GAAAUGGCUUUCUUUACUGUACAAGUCAUGUGCACUGACAAAAGAUUGUGCCUCUGCUCUGGCUUCCUGUAUCCGAGAGAGAAGUGCAUCAGUGAAACUGUCAGCGAUUCAGCCUCCUGCCAGCACAGAGGCAGCCAGUGCCUGUGCCUGCAUCCCUGAGAUGGUAGCUGGAGCAGAAUGAUCUUCCCAAAAGCACCAGCAAAGGAAUGUCAGAGGCCGGUGUUUCUUUUCACUUAACGCUGGUGUGCCUGUGAAACCGAUAGUGUCUUGAUGGAAAUAAUGAGAGGAAAACCUGAACAGGCGUUGUCCAAAGGCGGCGGCUGCGGUGGUACUCCCAGCUCCGGGAGCACGCUCCGGGCCGUGCUGUGCCUGUCCCUGUGCCUGCGUUGUGGCACUGGCGGCGCCAGGGGACGCGACACGGGGACGGGCAGCGCCGCGGCUCGGGGAGUCCCUGUCCUGGGGGAUGUUUUAAUGAUCCUGGAGAACGAGAGAGGCAGCAACCAGCAAUAUUUUAUAUACGCUUUUAGCCGUUCUUGUAUUCUUUUUCUUACGCCUUCAUUCUUCCCCUGGCACUGCGUUUGACUUUGAAAAGCCUCGGUCAUCUUCUUUUCCCUUUUAGCCCAUGUUAAAAUGCACGUGAUUCUGGGGUUUGGGAUAAAGCCUGGCUGUCAGGUGCUUCAUCCAGUGCCCACUGAGCUACCUUAGUUGAAACAAAUAGGACUUUUUUGUCAUCUCCUCUUGUAUCUCAGCAAAUUCCAUUUCUUUUUAUAGUCUUUCUUCAGCUGAACAGUUUGGAAGCUACUUCUGGUUUGCUCUCCUAGACAGAGAAAAAGGUGCACAGAAUCAGUUAUUAGGGGAGAACUUCUUAUAAAAGUUUCAAGCCAUAGUCUGUUCCUCAUUUUUGUAAAACUUGUGGAAAAUUUCAAUACCUCAGUCACACUGAGUUAUAUCUAGACAAUCAAUUCAAAGUUGAAGAGUGAGUUGGGGACACUCUGAAAAUUCAUCAUUACAUAAACUGAAGAAACCAGGCUAAGAAUAGCCCUCAGUGCAGUAGGAUCAAGCAGAGCCUCAAUUAUGUAUGCAUAAAAGUCUGUCUGUAUGAAACCUAUUUUGUGACUACUUCAUGGUGAAUAAUGGUAGGAGUAAUAGGCAAAACCAGAAGGGCUGAUCAUGGAAAAAAAAAAGAAA